rnacentral:lncRNA from 1 species
CCACACUCUAAUAUAUAUAUUUAUACUAAAAUGAAAACUACAUUUUUAACUCUAUAAAUGCGACCAUUUAUUUUAUUUAUAAUUAAUGUCAAUUAUUUAUUACAAUUAAUGAUGGAAUAUGCUGCAAAAAAACGCAUGCACUCUUCGGCACACCAACCAAUCAGCAUUCAGCAUCAGUGAUUCCUGCCAAUCAGAGCUCAGCUGCAGUGACGCGCCAUCCUGCUUCUGAAAUUCUGUUCACUUUUUACAAAAAGAAAAAUAAAACAGUUUUAAAUUAAAAUAAUUGACAUUUAUUUAUUCUCCUUAAAUUAAAGCGAUUUCUGCGCGGAAUUAUAAAUAAACCGGUUUAGUUUAUUAAACAGGGUUUUGGUGCCACCCGGCGGCCAGAGCGGUGAGUGCAGUCUGACCCAGCGCCUCCAUCUUCAUCCUCCUCCUCCUCCAUCAUCUUCAGCCGCAGCGGCUUCAGCUCCUCCAGCACCUCCUCAAUCAGCACCUCCACCUUAAUAUACAUCUUAAUCUACAGCCUAAUCUACAACCUAAUCUACACCUCCUCCAGCAGGACCUCCACCUCUACAGGAUGGGGAAAAUCCGCUUCCAGCCCGCCGCCCCUAAACAUCAAACGGAGGAGAUCAAUACACACCGCUCCAACACACACACUAACCAGGUGUCAGGUGAGCUGGUGUGGGCGGGGCAAACGCGCUCCUCUCUGAGUGGACUCUGCUGUUUAACCACUGCACUAAUAGUGUUCACCUGCAGCCUCAUCUACGCCUCCGUCUACAUCUACCGCUAUUACAUCAUACCCCAGGUACAUGCGCCUGAACACACGCGCGCCUGAACACACACGCGCCUGAACACACACGCGCGCCUGAACACACACACGCGCGCCUAAACACACACACGCGCGCCUAAACACACACACGCGCACCUGAACACACACGCGCGCCUGAACACACACGCGCGCCUGAACACACACGCGCGCCUGAACACACGCGCGCCUGAACACACGCGCGCCUAAACACACACGCGCCUAAACACACACACACGCGCCUAAACACACACACCUAAACACAUGCGUCUAAACACAUGCACCUAAACACACACGCACCUGAACACACACACCUAAACACACGCUUAAACGCCUAAACACACACGCGCGCCUGAGCACACACACACACGCCUAAACACACACACGCGCCUAAACACACACACGCGCCUAAACACACACACACGCCUAAACACACACACCUAAACACACGCUUAAACGCCUAAACACGCGCGCACCUAAACACACGCUUAAACGCCUAAACACGCGCGCCUCAACACACACACGCGCCUAAACACACACACCUGAACAGGCACCUGUACUAAUGAUGAUGAUGAAAGUGAUUGUCGUGAUGACUGGUGGUAGUGGGGAUAAUCAUGACAGUAAUGGUAAUAGUGAUGAUAAUGCCAGUGAUGAAGAUGAUGAUUGUGGUGAACGUGAUGUUGAUAAUGACUGGUGAUGGUGAUGAUGAUGAUGAUAAUGAUGGUGGUGAUGACUGUGAUGAUGAUGGUGACGGUGAUGAUGAUUGUGAAGAUGAUUGUGAAGAUGAUGAUGAUGAUGGUGAUGUGGUGAUGGUGAUG